UCCCAGUUCGGAUUGUAGGCUGCAACUCGCCUACAUGAAGUCGGAGUUGCUAGUAAUCGCGGAUCAGAAUGCCGCGGUGAAUGCGUUCCCGGGUCUUGUACACACCGCCCGUCACACCAUGGAAGUUGGGGCGCCGAAGUUGCCUAAGAAAUAAGGUACCUAAGGCGAAACCAAUGACUGGGUGAAGUCGUAACAAGGUAUC
rnacentral:rRNA from 1 species